CCUACGGGCGGCAGCAGUGGGGAAUAUUGCACAAUGGGGGAAACCCUGAUGCAGCGACGCCGCGUGAGUGAAGAAGUAUUUCGGUAUGUAAAGCUCUAUCAGCAGGGAAGAAAAUGACGGUACCUGACUAAGAAGCCCCGGCUAACUACGUGCCAGCAGCCGCGGUAAUACGUAGGGGGCAAGCGUUAUCCGGAUUUACUGGGUGUAAAGGGAGCGUAGACGGUGUGGCAAGUCUGAUGUGAAAGGCAUGGGCUCAACCUGUGGACUGCAUUGGAAACUGUCAUACUUGAGUGCCGGAGGGGUAAGCGGAAUUCCUAGUGUAGCGGUGAAAUGCGUAGAUAUUAGGAGGAACACCAGUGGCGAAGGCGGCCUACUGGGCACCAACUGACGCUGAGGCUCGAAAGUGUGGGUAGCAAACAGGAUU
rnacentral:rRNA from 1 species